ensembl:ncRNA ZK418.12 ncRNA
UGUAGAAAACCCUUCAAGUUUCAAUCUCGCAACUAACCUUGAGCAAGUAGCAUGGAUCGGUUCCAUUUUC